CAACAACGAUGACAACAAUAACUAUAAAAUAACAACAGCAAUCAACCUACGUCUAGCUGUAGCAACAAUAACAACUAUGUCAAAAAGUUGAACUUCUCUGCAUCGAAUCAUCAUAAUCACAACAAAAAACUUCGAGUUGGAGAGACUUCGAGUAAUGGAAGGUAAUUUGUAUAAAAUAUGACUUUAAUUGGCAAUUCAAGAGUUCGAUUUAGGGAGGACUUCGAGGUAUAUAAGUUCAAGUUAUGGACGUUCAACUGUAUAUUUAUUUAUAUUUUAUUUUUGUCAAAUUUCCUUAUAUUAUUUG